CCUACGGGAGGCAGCAGUGAGGAAUAUUGGUCAAUGGGCGCUAGCCUGAACCAGCCAAGCAGCGUGAAGGAUGACUGCCCUCUGGGUUGUAACCUUCUUUUAUAUGGGCAUAACGUGCAGUAUUUAUACUGCUUUGCAUGUACCUUAUGACUAAGGCUCGGCUAACUCCGUGCCAGCAGCCGCGGUAAUACGGAGGCUACGCGCGUUAUCCGGAUUUAUUGGGUUUAAAGGGAGCGUAGGCGGGGUGUUAAGUCAGUUGUGAAAGUUAGCGGCUCAACCGUAAAAUUGCAGUUGAUACUGGCAUCCUUGAGUACAGGAGAGGUAGGCGGAAUUCGUGGUGUAGCGGUGAAAUGCUUAGAUAUCACGAAGAACUCCGAUGGCGAAGGCAGCCUGCUGGACUGUAACUGACGCUGAUGCUCGAAAGUGUGGGUAUCAAACAGGAUUAGAUACCCCAGUAGUC
rnacentral:rRNA from 1 species